rnacentral:rRNA from 1 species
CCGGCACGGGUGAGUAACACUAUGCAAUCCACCUGUAACGAGGGGAUAACCCGGAGAAAUCCGGACUAAUACCCCAUAAUAUGGGCGCUCCGCAUGGAGAGCCCAUUAAAGAGAGCAAUUUUGGUUACAGACGAGCAUGCGCUCCAUUAGCCAGUUGGCGGGGUAACGGCCCACCAAAGCGACGAUGGAUAGGGGUUCUGAGAGGAAGGUCCCCCACAUUGGAACUGAGACACGGUCCAA